UCUGUGUGUAUGGGGAAAGGGGAGGGACAGAGGGAACAGGCAAGACAAACUCCUAUGUUUAAAUUUAAAACUGCUUGACAACUUAUUAUGGAGCUGGGAACAAGCCCAAAUAACCAACUACAUUUUAGAAACAAGACC